AGCGAACGCUGGCGGCAGGCCUAAAACAUGCAAGUCGAACGCCGUAGCAAUACGGAGUGGCAGACGGGUGAGUAACACGUGGGAACGUGCCUUUUGGUUCGGAACAACCCAGGGAAACUUGGGCUAAUACCGGAUAAGCCCUUCGGGGGAAAGAUUUAUCGCCAGAAGAUCGGCCCGCGUCUGAUUAGCUAGUUGGUGGGGUAACGGCCCACCAAGGCUACGAUCAGUAGCUGGUCUGAGAGGAUGAUCAGCCACACUGGGACUGAGACACGGCCCAGACUCCUACGGGAGGCAGCAGUUAGGAAUCUUGGACAAUGGGCGCAAGCCUGAUCCAGCCAUGCCGCGUGAGUGAUGAAGGCCUUAGGGUUGUAAAGCUCUUUCAGCGGGGAAGAUAAUGACGGUACCCGCAGAAGAAGCCCCGGCUAACUUCGUGC
rnacentral:rRNA from 1 species